GUCUUCGUUACUUUUUUGGAUUUGGAGAGUGGGAAAUCCAAGACAUCACGGUGGAGCAGGACAAUGUAGACAGUCAAUCACAACUCAUAUACCGCGUAAUAACAGUCACCCUGUGAAUUCAACAAAAAAUUACAAACGCAUCGUGUUUCACAAAGAGUAGUCAUUGCACCUCUGUUUUGUCCUCAUGCUUCGCCACCUCUGUC